rnacentral:piRNA from 1 species
GAUUAAUAACAUAAGAGUGUUGC